AAUUGAUAGAAACGAACACAUUUUCCGACUAAAAAUGUGUUCUAAACUAAAUAAUAUUAUUAAAUUUUUGUGCACAAAACUGACAGGAAUUUUUUUCGCAUUCGAAUAGUCGUGCUAUGGGACAAAGAUUCAUUGGUGUCAAGCUGACUUAAAGUAAAUUUCCAUCUGGUAUCCAUUUUGUAAUGUGCACAAAAAUAGGCUUUUUGAACUGUUAAGCAGAGUUUACAUGGCACAUCAUGAUCGUACUCAUCGUGUGUAUGUAUGUGUUGGCUACAGCUUUUGCUCAAAACGAACGUGUUUUUCAAUAUCUGGCAAUUAAUGAUUACACAUUUCUUUGUAAGCGGUAAUCGAUAGACGUAUGUAAUUCAUCGACAAAAAUCAAAUGAUUUUGAUUUUUCAGCCAUGACUGAUGGGUAUGUGUACAUGUGACGAAUACACCUUUGUUUUUACCAAUACUAUUACAAUGACCAUACAUUAGAUGUGCCAUGUUAACUCAGCAUUAAAGAAGGGUUGAGCCUACAAUUUUUUCAAA